rnacentral:rRNA from 1 species
UACGUAGGGGGCUAGCGUUGUCCGGAAUCAUUGGGCGUAAAGAGCGUGUAGGCGGUCCGGUAAGUCGGCUGUGAAAGUCCAGGGCUCAACCCUGGGAUGCCGGUCGAUACUGCCGGACUAGAGUUCGGAAGAGGCGAGUGGAAUUCCCGGUGUAGCGGUGAAAUGCGCAGAUAUCGGGAGGAACACCUAUGGCGAAGGCAGCUCGCUGGGACGUUACUGACGCUCAUGCACGAAAGCGUGGGGAGCAAACAGG